AUCAAGAGCAUUGAGAUCAAAGAGUCUCAAAAGCCUAAAGAAUCGGAAAAGCCUAAAGAGCCCGAAAAGCCCAAGGUGGUGGAGAAGCCUAAAGAGCUCGAGAAACCUAAAGUAGUAGUCGUGGAGAAGCCUAAAGAACCUGAGAAACCCAAAGUGGUGGUUGUAGAGAAGCCUAAAGAAUCAGAGAAACCUAAAGUAGUAGAGAAGCCUAAAGAAUCCGAAAAACCUAAAAUAGUGGCGGUGGAGAAGCCUAAAGAACCUGAAAAGCCCAAAGAACCCGUGAAGCCCAAGGAACCAGAGAAGCCUAAAGAGCCCGAAAAGCCAAAGGAGGUUCAGAAGCCCAAAGAGCCCGAAAAGCCCAAAGAAGCACCUAAACCAGCACCACCAGUAGCUCUUCCCCCACAACCACAACCACAAUUUCCGGCAGUUCCAGAACCAGUGAUCGUGAUGCCAGUUCAAGGAUAUCCACACCAACCCUCUCCGGGGAUGUAUUGUUGUGGGCAAUGUUACGAAGGCUAUACUGGAGGCCCGUGUUAUCAUGAUAAUUGGUACGGAAGACCAGUACAACCACCUCCACCACCACCAUGCUACGACACAUAUUCAUAUGGAUAUGGGCCCGGGCCCGGGCCCAUACCCUAUGGACUCCCAAAGGGAUGUUAUGUGAACAAAUGUGAUUACUUUAGUGAAGAGAAUGCAUCUGGAUGCUCAAUUAUGUGAAUCUAACAUGUUGGGCCAUACUAGGGCCCUUUUUACAUUUUAAUUGGGCCUUUUCACCAAAAGUCCAAAUCAAACUUUGGAUCUAUAUGGCUAUCUUUUUGUAUGUCAUUAUUAUAGAUUAAUUACUUAUAGAAAAUAAAUAUAUAAGUUACUUACUUUUACAAGAAAAUUUGAUUAAGAGAGAAUAAUUUGGUUACCAGAU
rnacentral:misc_RNA from 1 species